rnacentral:rRNA from 1 species
UACGUAGGGUGCGAGCGUUAUCCGGAUUUACUGGGUUUAAAGGGUGCGUAGGUGGGCAGGUAAGUCAGUGGUGAAAUCUCCGAGCUUAACUCGGAAACUGCCAUUGAUACUAUCUGUCUUGAAUAUUCUGGAGGUGAGCGGAAUAUGUCAUGUAGCGGUGAAAUGCUUAGAUAUGACAUAGAACACCAAUUGCGAAGGCAGCUCACUACGGGAUCAUUGACGCUGAGGCACGAAAGCGUGGGGAUCAAACAGG